CUUCAAAUCACUCUACGGAAAGCGUGCUGUCUUUUUGACUCAGGAGAACGGAUGACACCUUUGUAAGGCUGCAUUAACUGACUGACCAGGGCCUUGCCAUUACCGAAUGACUUCACACAGUUUUCCCAUUUAGCCCACUCUGCCACCUCUUUUCCUCCUCCGGCGCAGGCGGUUUACAAGAGCCUGGGGAGAAGGGCAAUUACCUGAGGGGCUACAGACAGGGCGCUCUGGCCUCAGGGGCCAACGGCUAGGGUGAGAAUUGGACACGGAGGAUAACGGCCAAGUCUUGCCCCGAACGCCAGCGGCUGCUGGGGUCGAAGACGAGCGAACAGUUAAGCCAGCUCCAUCCAGCUCUGUGACCAGGAAUUAACCUCCCGCAAUAAAACCGCCCGUUAAAUGAUUACGGUUUACUAGGUCUUUAAAAUCGGGGGAAGAAAAACUCGUGCUGUAUGAAGGUUACAUAUAUAUCUUAUUUUUUUAAAUUAUCGUUAAAAAGGAACUAAACGUAAUUAUUUUUCUUUCCCCUCUGGUUGGCACACACUCCCCAGCUACGAUUUCCUGAAGUCUCCAA